CACACUUACAAGACACCCUACAAACACACUACGUAAUGACAACGUUACACUUUGGUCGUAAUUUGGUAAGUCGCAACAUUACCAACAGGUGACGUUGUGACAACAUUGCUCUAUGGUCGCAAAAUAACCAGACCUCAUGGAGACUGUUCUGCAACGUUGCAGUAACGUUAUAGAAUUACGUAAAUACGAUGUAAUUUAAUAACGUAACAAUUACGUUAUACCACAGUCCUCAUCCUUACUUAAUUUGAAACGUUACUGGUAGGUUGUCAGAACGUUUGUAAAUGACGUAUUGGUUUACAGUAAAAUAUCUAUCUGUCUAUCUGUCUGCGCGUUUACGCUUGGACCGUUAUCACGUUAUAUCCAAUGCAGGGUUUAUUAUUAUUAUUAUUAUUAUUAUUAUUAUUAUUAUUAUUAUUAAUAUUUAUUUAUUUAUUUAAAUAUAGGAUAUGAUGGAUAUGCAGGUAUAGGGUUCUAGGGUGGCUGACAUGGAUAGGGAUUUUAUAGUAGGACUGGGUGUAAAGCAUGGAGGAUAAAAAAUAGCUUAGGGUGAAGGGAUUUUUGAGUGUAAAUCUAUUGUCUGAUACACACUCCGGAGCAGAAGGUGGCGGUAAUUCACCAAUAAGCUGUUAACCACCCGCUGUAAAACAAGAAGAAGACGGUAUAUCCAAUCACAUGCGCAUGUUGCUGUGACGUGGUCUUGGAAGAAGGUCGUUGUGAUUUCAAAUUCUCCGUGGGAAAAUCUGGGUUUGACUGCGUUCAAGAGCAGAGUUCUCUACAUUCGGCCCAACAGCUCAAAUGGAAACUAGAGCACAAGAUCAGAAUGAAGCUCCCACACAUGGCCUUAUGACUGUUGCUCCAGUGAAGAACCCGAGGUCCAGCCUUCCCCACUCAAGACAUGCCUGAGACAAGAGUGACUGUAUUCCAAGAUCAUCAAAACCAAGGAGAAAAGCCAAUAUAUGCAAGGAGCCCCCACGACCGAUUCUGAGAACCCCUGGCUUAAAUGCUCUUGUCGGACUCUUAAAUGCUAAAAACAUGUUCCUUUCUAAAUGCCAGUCUUACAAUGGCGGUUAAUUUUGUUAAAUUCUGUGUGUGUGAUUUCAUUGUGUGUUGUAUGUUAUCCAGCAAAUAAACCUUAAGACUCUUAA